GCCGGUGGCCGCGGGCGGGGCUCCUCUCCGGCGGGUGCCGGAGUCUGGGGGCCGCGGCUUCCCCCUCCCCGCCCGCCGAGGCGCUGGCCCCUCCUUCCCCCGCCGCCCCCGUGCCCGCCGCUGCUGCCGCUGUCAAAGAUAAAACCGGGCCAUUGCCUGCAGGAGCCCUGGCAGCAGGCGAUCGAGCGGUGAGGAGCCUCGGGCGCGGCCUCGCCUCCCCGGCCCGGCUCCCGCGUCAGCACCGUGGACAGCGCAGACCCCCUCUCAGGGACCCCUCGGCUCGCAGGAACACUCUACGGGUUUCGGCGAUCUCAUCAGUACCGCGGACAGCGCCCAGGCCCCCGCUGGCCUUGACCGCUCUUCAAAUCAGCACCGCGGACAGCCCCCCUGGACCAGCCCAGCAGCAGCCAAGGACUGGUCAGAACGCCCGGAAGAUGGCCACUGAGGUCCACAACCUUCAGGAGCUCAGGCGAAGCGCUUCACUGGCCACCAAGGUCUUUAUCCAGAGAGACUACAGUGACGGCACCGUCUGUCAGUUCCAGACCAAAUU
rnacentral:lncRNA from 1 species